GCUCUCAGAGGCGAAGAAGGACGUGAUAAGCUGCGAAAAGCUGCGGGGAUUGGCACAUACGAAUAGAUCCGCAGAUUUCCGAAUGGGGAAAC
rnacentral:rRNA from 1 species